GUUUAAAAACCAAAAGCAAGAAAUCCUACAAAGGGGAAAGGUGAGGGGAGGGAUAAAUUAGGAGGUUGGGAUUAACAUGCACACUACUCUAGAUAAAAUAGAUGAUCGACAAGGACUUACUGUUUAGCAUGGGGAACUAUACUAAAUAUUCUAUAAUAACCUAUAUGGGAAAAAAAUCUGAAAAAGAAUGAAUGCGUGUAUAACUGAUCCACUUUGUUGUACGCCUGGAACUAACACAACAUUGUUAAGCAACCAUAUCCUAAUAUGAAAUAAAAAUUAAAUAAAAAAUAAGCCAGUGGACUCCAUUUUGGCAAACUCCAGAACUGUCAGAUAAUACAUCUGUGUUGUUUUAAGCAUCUAAAUUUGUGGUAAUUUGUUAACAACAGCAGUAGGAGAUGAAUCCAAUCACUAUAGCUGCUGCCUCGGGCAUAGACUCCGGGUGGUGGGCAAAGCAAGAAGACAGAGAAUAGUUAAGGGCCACUGUGAUAAUCCAUGCGAGACGUGAUGGCAGCUUGGAUCAGGGUGAAUUAAAACUGUACUUUAUAAGGCAGAAAAUAAACAAAACCAUAGAGUAAAGCUAAUUUUUUAAAAAAUUCCUACCAUGUACCAGGAUGUAUGCUCAGCCAUUUUCAUUUUUUAAAAUUUAAUCCCCACAACAAAAUGAGGUAGGUAUACUAUUGUCUGUGUAUCAUACAUGAGGACUGAAGGGGCUGUCCCCGGCUUACUGAAUACAAAGGGGCAGCCAAAAUUCAAACUCAGGCUCUGAUAUACCAAAUCUCUCUCGCUUGCCUUUUUGUUCUCCCCUAAGUCCUUAACAAAAUUAUGUGUAAAUGUUCUCGUUUAAGUGGUCCCAGCUGUGCCUCUGAGCAUUCUUGAAAGGGUGGGCUGGAGGUGAAGCCAGAAUUGCAAGGACCUCUGGGGACAAAUGAACCUCAGAACACAGGAGUUAAGGCUAUGGGCCGUGGCUCCCUUCCAAGAGGAGUCCUGUCUCCAUCAUCAACUGCGCAGAAUCUGGGCUUCAUUGAGCUAAAAAAGCCUUGGGACUCCCUGACAGUUGUAAACAACUAAUUAGAAUAUGGGAAGAUAGUUUCUGUGUUUGAAGUUUGUGCAAAGCACUAACCCAGGCAUCGCUUUUCUGUCCGAGAUACAGCACUACUCAGAGUGCUUGAUUAUAAGAGGAUAAACGUUGAAACAAGCUUCACGUGUCUACUUUUCUGUGAUAAUGUGAAAUUUGUCUGAUUAAGGCUUAUUCAUGACACUGAUUCUGCGGGCCCUUUAGGAAUCAGGUUCAUUCUACCUCUUUCGAUCACGCAGCAGAUCUUGCAUCUGUAGUUGGGCACCAAUGCUGGAACUGGCUGCUCAGCUCAGGGUACGAGGCCUGUGUGGACAAGUUUGGCCUUCAAGGUAGAAGGUUGAGGGCCCAUUCUGACCCUUCUGAUGAGCGUCACCUACAGCUGACCUCUCUCAUCUGUUGCCUCUGCAGCCUCUCUGCAAGAGUUGCUUGGGAAGGUACAGCUGGUUGGGGCUUUGUUCCUAGUUUCUGAUCCCACGAGCUGGUGAGAUUCGUUGGCUUCCUGUGGAUUUCCCUCGGUUUACCUGCUGGUGGAUAACCCGGUGAUUUUGUGAUAUGCCCAAUCUCUAGGCUGGGCCUGAGUCUGUUCAACCCCUCAUUUUUCUAGUGUCAUUUUCAGUCUGUGUCCUUCCAGAAUAAGAGCAUUCUCAGCAGCGUCUCAGUUGUUGGUUUUUUUGUUUGUUUGUUUGUGCUUUUUCAUUUGGCUGUGCCAGGUCUCAGCUGCAGCCUGGGGAUCUUUCGCUGUGGCAUGCAAACUCUUCGUUGCAGAUAUGGGAUCUAGUUCCCUGACCAGGAAUCAAACCCAGCCCCCCUGCGUUGGGAGUGCAGAGUCUUAGCCACUGGACCACCAGAGAAGUCCGUCCUUAGUUGUUUUUUAAAAAUUUCUCUGGAACAAUCAAGCUCGCAGUGGUGUUUCCAGGAUGGAAGGUCACUACCCCUUUAGUGAAAGCUGACUGCUGGGCUUAGGCCCUUCAAUGGACAUGUUUUAUGUCACUCUCAUAACAGUUCUGCAUGGGUAGAUAUUACUGCUAUUCCCAGCAGGGACCUUGGCAUGAUCAAGAACCCUUAGGAAUUUUGAUAUUCCCUCAGAUAAGAACAAAGAGUGUCUCCGGCUUUCUGGACUUUAUCUGGGACUUAUUUCUUUCGGUGCAAGUUCCACGAAAAGAGCACCGUGAACUCGGAGCAGAUGGUGCAUCCGUCCAUUGCCGAGCUCCACUUGCAGCCUGAGGAAAACUUUAUACCGAAGGUGGAAAUAAUGGCUUUCUGCUCAGUUUGUUGUAAAUUCUAAAUGGGGUGAUGGAAGGCUGUAAUGAUCACUGUUGUUCAACGCCUCUGGGCUCCAACAUCUGGUGAAUGCCUGUACUAGCUGACAGCUGUUAGCCUUGGUAUCACAGUGUGCUGCCCAGAGCUUUUGUUCUAAGUAGGCUGGGAAUCGGGCUUGAAGCAAGUAUCACUAGUUCGUGUAUCAAGAUGUUAAAGAGAGAGAAAACAAUUUUAUUUUCAGGAUUAAUUUCACUAUGGUACAUUUAGUAAAAACAGAGCCUUUUGCAUAUUGUUAUGGAAAUGCUGCAGGCUCUUACCCUCAAAACCCAAGAUUUUUAUUACAUUUUUAGCACAAGACUGUAAAUUAAUAUUCUAAGCCAUUUGGCCUCUGUCAGAGAUAAAUCCAAAUUGCUAACAAGCACAAGAUAAAUUUAGGAAAAUUGGCUUAUGUCCUGAGAUCAGGUUUGAAGAUGAAUCCGUAAAACUUAUA